rnacentral:rRNA from 1 species
CCUACGGGUGGCAGCAGUGGGGAAUAUUGCACAAUGGGGGAAACCCUGAUGCAGCAACGCCGCGUGAGUGAAGAAGGAUUUCGGGAUGUAAAGCUCUAUCAGCAGGGAAGAAGAUGACGGUACCUGAGUAAGAAGCCCCGGCUAACUACGGGCCAGCAGCCGCGGUAAGACGUAGGGGGCAAGCGUUAUCCGGAUUUACUGGGUGUAAAGGGAGCGCAGCCGGCAGUGCAAGUCUGGAGUGAAAGCCCGGGGCCCAACCCCGGAACUGCUCUGGAAACUGUGCGGCUAGAGUACUGGAGGGGCAGGCGGAAUUCCUAGUGUAGCGGUGCAUUGCGUAGAUAUUAGGAGGAACACCAGUGGCGAAGGCGGCCUGCUGGACAGUACCUGCCGUUGCGGCUCGCACGCGUGGGGAGCAAACAGGAUUAGAUACCCCAGUAGUC